rnacentral:rRNA from 1 species
UACGAAGGGGGCUAGCGUUGCUCGGAAUCACUGGGCGUAAAGCGCACGUAGGCGGCUUCUUAAGUCAGGGGUGAAAUCCUGGAGCUCAACUCCAGAACUGCCUUUGAUACUGAGGAGCUCGAGUCCGGGAGAGGUGAGUGGAACUCCGAGUGUAGAGGUGAAAUUCGUAGAUAUUCGGAAGAACACCAGUGGCGAAGGCGGCUCACUGGCCCGGUACUGACGCUGAGGUGCGAAGGCGUGGGGAGCAAACAGG